GCUAUAAAUACCAUUGCUCACCUUUGUUGCAUAUUCACCAAGACAUGGCUGGUACAAAAGUUGGAGUAAUCACUCUCCUGCUUUGCGCAACAAUUCUACUUGGAUUGAAGCCGGAACAUGCAAGCGCAAAAGUAUGCCCAUUCUUCUGCUACGCAGAAGUAGCUUAUAUGACUUGCCCACCUGCACCUUACAAGAAACUUGGCCCAGUGUGCAACUGUUGCUUGGCCAAACCAGGUUGCAAGCUUUUUCGGGCUGAUGGGACUGUGAUCUGUACUGCAAGCUGAUAAGCCUUUGAUAAUAAAUGGCCUCAAGAGCUUCUAGAAAUGGGCUGCAAUCUUGUGAUCCCUUAAAAUUUUGCAAUAAAUCGGGUCAUUGAUCUAUGUUCUGUUUAUUACUGUUUUAUUACAUAUAUUAAAAGUUUUUAAGCAUACAUCCAAUUUUGAAAGUAUGUUAAUCAAUGAAAGUUGCAUAAUUUAUACAAGAAUGUGAUCCUAUUCAAUAC